rnacentral:tRNA from 1 species
GGGCGUAUAGCUCAAUGGCAGAGCAAUCAGCUCAUAACUGAGAGUGUCUUGGUUCGAGUCCAAGUACGCCCA